GACCGUCUCUCUCUCCGAAAGUCUUUGUCUAGUGACCUGAAGCCUGUUUUCAGUCUAGGCAUCUUGCUCUAGCCGAUUCGUCAAUUAUUUUCGUUGUCUUUUUCAGAUGCGAAUUUUUCCUCUUUGUCUUUGAAAUUUCCCGGUUUGAAGAGACUUGAAUUGAUAUCUCUCGGCACAUUCAUUUCUUCGUAGGCUGUGGUUCAUGUACAGCCGUCCUGAAAGUAGAUAAUAAGCGAGAUGGGUUCUCAAUUCAUGACGGGAGGUAGAAAUGAAACAAUGUUUUCGCAAAAAAGAGAGUGGUUUGGGUAUUCGAUAGGAAAAGGAUCAUCGCAUUCCUAUCUACGCCACUGGAACAUUUUGGCAAGAGACACUUACCUAAUUCGAAACAUUAGGAAAAAUCUGUGGCGUAUCAUCAAUGUCUGCCAAAAUAGGCAGUCAAAUUACGUACGAACGCCAAUGGUGGAAAUUAAAAAAAAAGGUGAUACAUUAAAAAAUGCC